rnacentral:rRNA from 1 species
CGUGUAGGUGGCUAAUUAAGUCAGGUGUGAAAUCCUUCCGCUUAACGGGAGAAGUGCACUUGAAACUGCUUAGCUAGAGUACGGGAGAGGAAGGUGGAAUUCCUGGUGUAGAGGUGAAAUUCAUAGAUAUCGGGAAGAACACCGGUGGCGAAGGCGGCCUUCUGGCCCGAUACUGACGCUGAGACGCGAAAGCGUGGGGAGCAAACAGGAUUAGAUACCCUGGUAGUCCACGCCGUAAACGUUGGGCACUAGGUGUGGGAGGUUUUCAUUCCUUCUUUGCCGAAGCUAACGCAUUAAGUGCCCCGCCUGGGGAGUACGGUCGCAAGGCUAAA